GUGUUGUGUACGGAAAUGAAAUUUGACCUUGAGCUAGUCAGUAAGUCUUGAAAUUUGGAACACACAAAAAUGACACAUUGGUGGGCGCCAAGAUCACUCUGUGAUCUCUUGUUUUAAAUGUUCAUUAUUUGGGAUUUUUCAUAUGAGUUUAGUCAAGUAUGAUAUUUUCAAUGAGAAAUUAUGCAUUUUCCUCUUGAUGCAGUGUUUCUGGAAACGCGUGAUACAAAUUAUCUUAAAAUUAAUUUACCAACUAAAGGUCAUUUGGGAAGAUGGUCUUGUAUACUCCAUGACAUACAGUAAAAGUUAAAUUCACACAAUUUUGUAUUAUUAUCAAAAAUAGUUUUUCCUAGGAAAUUUACUCAAGAGUGAUUCAAAGACACUCGAGCUUUUGUUAUUAUCUAUGUAAAAGAAGGAAAUAGCCUUUUGUUAAAUGGUUUGAUUUUGUUAGAAUGACAUUUCUUGAUUUUGUUUUGCUAUUUCAUGGGGAUAUGGAUUUGUGGAUUAGAAUUUUCAUCUUAAAGAUGAAAAGAGUGAGAGUUUAAUAUAUUUGUUUGUUGAGAUUUAAAUUGUUGAUGAUGCAAGCAUGAAAUCCAUGACCAUUAAGGAGUUCCAAGUGUACUACUGAAAGUAAUUCAAUUUAUACAAAAAAAAAAUGAUGUGCUAUCUUGAAAACACAAAUCUUGAGGACACCCAUUUACUGGUAAAUUUGUAGACUGGUAGCCUUUAUUCUUGUCUGGGUCUAAGAUUUAAAAACUUUAGUCUGGAGACCAGUCUCAAAAUACAAGCUUACUGUUGGUCAGUUUCAAUACUGAGCUCAAAAUCAACCAAUCAGAUUGUGGAGUUUUUGAUUGGUCCACAACCUUUUUAUAACCUUUGGCCCAGAUCUUUUACAAAUAUCUUUUUCACCACUUCCAUUAUGUGACUGAAAUAGACAGAAUUCUUUUUAUAAAUGUUAUACUUUUUGUUUAUGAAAUGACUGGUUUUUCAUUUUGAUUUUAUGUAUGUAUAUCAUGAAGUUAAUGUUGUUUUUAUAUUCCACUCACUCACUGUUAGACGCGUUAUAUGUGCUGUAACAUUCCUGUCAGUUUUGUCAUAUCAGCUGCCACUAUUGGUGUAUAUAUAUAUUACAUAUAAUUGUCUAAGGUAGUAAAUGAUAAUUUCCAGGAAUGGAUCAAAGGGUACAAAUAUUAUUUGUGGAAAAUAUUAGUCAAUCCUGUAGUUAUAAACUUGUUAAAAAAACACUUUGAUUUUCAAAGAGAUUAAAAAUUUUGGUGCUCAACCUUGUACGAUGAUAAUUUGACUUUAUUUGUUAAUUAAUUUAUACUACUCACAAAAACUGGAGGACAAAUUUCAGUUAACUUGGAAAUUAUCACAGCAUUGGACUUAAUUAUGAUUUUUAAAGAGAUUCAAAAUGAGCCUCAGCCUGGCUGCACAUUUUUCUCACCUUUCAAAAAAAAAAAAAAACCUAUUGAAAUUGCUGUAACUCGCAGCUUAUCCGGGUCUUUCUGUUUACAUUAGAAUAUAGUCUGUAUUUGAUUUAUUAUAUUGUAAACAAUUAUAUAUUUUUUGUCAAUGAAUCAUCAGAUGGUAAAGAGGAAAAUAAUUAAUACAAAUUUUACAGUUGUUCUGUAUCUGUGAUGCAGGAAGUAAAUGUGAAAUAUGGUAUAGAAGGAAAUUUAGAAUUAAGCUAUGUAUAUGCUAGCCAUUUGCAGGUGCAUAAUUUAUUCUUUUUAUGAUAUUUUUCCCUGUUAGUAUAUGUUUAACCCUGUGUUAAAGAUAUCAAGAUAAUAUCACCACAGAAUCAUGCUCAGAUGUGCUAAGCUGAGGUAUACUGUAGGUUCUUUUUUUUUUAGCAUUUUAACCCUUACCCUGCUGAAUUUCUAUACUGAACUUGUCCGUCUUUCAGUUGCUGACAGAACCAUUCACUGUUAAAAGGGAUUGUUACCAAAAAAAUACUGAAUAAAUAAUGAACAGUGCAGAUCAUGAUCAGACUGCACAGAUGUGCACAGGCUGAUCAUGAUCUGCACUGGUCACAAAGGCAGAAUCAAUCGCAUCCAGCAUGAUAUGGGUUAAUAGAACGCAGACUUGCUCACUUUUGCUGAGAAAUAAUACAAAGCAGAAGUGAAACACAAUGAAGGGCAUACAUUCUCUGAUAUAAUUAAGAAUUAUCCCAUGCAAUAUGAUAUGGAAUGUUAAAAUCAAUUAAAACACACUUCUGCUGUAUAUUAUUUCAAUUAUGUAAUAGUAAAUGAAAUAUAGAAGCACUGUUUGUUGGUCACUACAAAUAGGUUAACAUGAUGUCACUGUUUGCAGGUGUUUACUGUAUAAGAAAGUCGACACAGUGUCACUGUUUGCAGGUGUUUACUGUAUAAGAAAGUCGACACAGUGUCACUGUUUGCAGGUGUUUACUGUAUAAGAAAGUCGACACAGUGUCACUGUUUGCAGGUGUUUACUGUAUAAGAAAGUCGACACAGUGUCACUGUUUGCAGGUGUUUACAGUAUAAGAAAGUCGACACAGUGUCACUGUUUGCAGGUGUUUACUGUAUAAGAAAGUCGACACAGUGUCACUGUUUGCAGGUGUUUACUGUAUAAGAAAGUCGACACAAUGUCACUGUUUGCAUGUGUUUACUGUAUAAGAAAGUCGACACAAUGUCACUGUUUGCAGGUGUUUACUGUAUAAGAAAGUCGACACAAUGUCACUGUGUUUGUGUAUUUACUGUUUUAAUAAAUGUAGGAUCAUUCAGUACAAAUAUCAAUCAUGCUGAAAUCUGUUUAGCUAACAUUUACUGUAAGUUGGUAAUUUUCUCAAAUCUUUUAUUUUGUGGUUUUAAAAGCCAGCACUUUAAGUUGUCAUGUUAAGAAUUUGUAACUAGUAGAUUUAUGUUAUUCAACAUAGUUCCAGUUAAAUUUUUUGUUUGAUGUUAAUUUUCAGUAUGCAUAGUUUGUAAAUAGUAUACGAGCAAAAAUAUAAACUAUCACAAAUAUGACUCAAACUACUGUCACAGUGUAGCUUUUAUGAAUAGUACAGUCAUUCAUCUAUUUGUUGUUUCAAGUGUUGUUUUCUGAACAUGUGUCAGAUUUUAAAAUGAUGUCAUCAGCAUAUUAAGGUAAUUUAGUACAAAAACAAAUGUAUUGUCUUUCAUCAUGUAUGUAUAGCAGGAAGUUUUAUAAUGAUUUUAACAGGAAAUUUUUUCCGGUUGCAUUCUGUAUUUCCAGUGUUCUUGUGCAGAUUUAACUAAGGCCCCAAAAUGGGCUUUUUUUCCACUGGUAAAAAAGUCUAUAGUUAGCUUAUAAUACAACUGAAAUGUACAUAGCACAAUUAAAAAAAAUCAAAACAAAUAAAAAAAACAUUUAAUUUCAUAGUCAUUAAAUUGUAUGAUUUCUGCUGAAGCAGUUAUUUCAUUAGGACAUGACUUUGUGGAGAUGACAUAAAAGUCAGAUAUUUAAUUAUGUUUGUUGGUAUUUAUUUUCAAGGACAGAACACACAAAAAAAGUUUAGUUUCUCACGUAUGAAAAUGACUCUUCAGUAUUGGAUGUUACAGUUACCAUUUACCCUGCUAAAUUUCUAAAAUGGACUGCUCCAUCCUUCAAUUUGGGCAGUACCACUUAUUAUUCAAAGGUGUGUUAACAGGAAAUUGACUGACUGAAUAUAAAACAGUGCAGACCAUGAUCAGCGUUCACAGAUGUGCAGGCUGAUUUUGGUCUGCACUGGUCACAAAGGCAAAAUCACUUGCACCAGCAGGCUAAAGGUUGAGAUUGUGACCCAUGACACUCUACCGUCAAACUACCCAGAUCCAAUUUAUUUCUUGUUAGCUAUGAAGUAAGAGGUUUAUGUGUAGAACCAAUGGCAACAACUCUAAAUUUAUCUCCGAUAACACACAAUUAUAAUAACAACUUUAAUUUUUAUUGGCAGUAAGCAUGUAAUUGUUCAGACAUUUUCGUCGCUUGUUUUAUUUGCAUCACAAAUGAGACUUUUUUGAGAAAUUAAAAUAAAAAAGAAAUAUAAAUUUAUUAGUUACCGGUACUCUUGUUAGCUUGUACUUCUGAACUGGUUGACUAUAGUUUACUUUUUAACUUUGUUACGUUACAAAGAAAUGGAAAGGUCAGUAUUUUUCUUUAUUGACCAGUUAAUUAUUGUCAUUUACCAUGUAAUUUUUGUUGCCAUUAAGAAAAUGAAAUUUGGUAUUUUCAGUUUUACUCAGUUUAAAGAUUAUAGCUAUGCAUUGUGAAAUAUGCACUUUUUAUUUUUUGUUUUGAAAAUUAGAAUUGCUGCUCUAAGCGGAGGAAUAUCUCCCCUACAGAAUUCAUGAUGAAAAAGCAUAUAACCUAUUAAUAGGUGUGUAAAAAUCAAACAGAGAAAAAAAUGCUUUCCAGUAAACAAAAAAGAUGAAAACAUCUGAGAUGCUUCUGAAAUGAUGAAGAAACUCAGCAUUCUGCAGGGGUAAUUAUAAGUAUGUAUUUAAAACUGGUUUUUAUUUGUAUAAUCAUAUGUCAGUGUCAAGUAUACAUUUGAUAUCAAGUUCUGUUUAUGAAGGUUUUACAAGUUUUUUGCUGGACAAGCUGAGCUUUAUGACAUUCUAAUUUUAGACAGAUUUUUUACCCAUAAUAAUAAUAGGUAAGAAAGAUUAUUGAAUAUUUAUUUGAAAAUAAUGGCCAAGGCCAUCCAGUUUUUUAUUGUUUUUGAUUAUUAUUAUGAGAAAAUUUGCAGGUUAUCCUACAGAAUUUAUAAUGGUUAUAAUUAUACAUGUAGGGUGUAAUGCUAAAAGAGGUUUUCAUCAUAUACAAAGAACUUUUGCUUAACACUUUCAAAUUUAUAGCCAGUUAAAACUGUUGCAAGGACAAGCAACAUGAUUUUUGUAUAGAUUUUGGGAAGAUUGCAGCAAUAUUAAUUGCGUCGUUACUGGUAUUGCUUUAAUUGUUGUUAUGAGCACAACAUGUACUAUUUAUUGUACACUCAUUGUGAUAUAAAUUAUUUAUUGUUUUAUCUUGUCUGUUGCAUUCUCAUUUUCAGUGAUAAAUAAAGGCAUAUUUUCAAUAGCUGUCAAA
rnacentral:lncRNA from 1 species